AUACCGCUUUGAGAAUGUAUAAGUGAAAUUCUCGAAGGACAGAAAUAGGUGGGCCCUUAAGGAGCUCUAGGAUGUCUGGGUGAAAGGGGAGAACAUUUUCUGAGCUCAGCGCAGUGGGAGUGAGAACAAAGGAGGACGUUUCCACAGUAAAGUUGUAUUACAUGGGUGGAGCAAGAGGUGCUCUCCCCUCCUGGACCAUCACUUGGGAGUGAUCAGGUUACAGAGACUGGUGUUGAGAAAGGAUAAGUGCAGGAGCCCUAAAACAAUAAAGUUAACUGAAGGAAGGUUGUUUUAGAGAAAAAUAAAUACAAAUGUUCCAAAAAAUGGACUAAUAUAGAGAUGGCAGAUAUGGUGGAAUAUAGAAAUAAUAAUAAAUUAAUUAAAAUAAGAUAUGCAUUUAUUAUUUAAUAACUUGUCUGAAUAGAUUAAUUUAAAAGAUGCACGUGCUUAAAACUUUUUUUAAUAUGUGAAGACAUCUAAAAUUUGUAUCUUGUUAUCCCUGGGACAGUAUGAAAGUUAAUCCAUUACAGAGUUUCAGAGAUUGGGCUUGUGUAAAUGUAAAAAAUAAAAGAAAUAA